rnacentral:tRNA from 1 species
GGGGGAGUAGCUCAGCUGGGAGAGCGCCGCGUUCGCAAUGCGGAGGUCGUGGGUUCGAUCCCCAUCUUCUCCA